AUUGAACGCUGGCGGCAGGCCUAACACAUGCAAGUCGAACGGUAACAGAAAGCAGCUUGCUGCUUUGCUGACGAGUGGCGGACGGGUGAGUAAUGUCUGGGAAACUGCCUGAUGGAGGGGGAUAACUACUGGAAACGGUAGCUAAUACCGCAUAACGUCGCAAGACCAAAGAGGGGGACCUUCGGGCCUCUUGCCAUCGGAUGUGCCCAGAUGGGAUUAGCUAGUAGGUGGGGUAAAGGCUCACCUAGGCGACGAUCCCUAGCUGGUCUGAGAGGAUGACCAGCCACACUGGAACUGAGACACGGUCCAGACUCCUACGGGAGGCAGCAGUGGGGAAUAUAGCACAAUGGGCGCAAGCCUGAUGCAGCCAUGCCGCGUGUAUGAAGAAGGCCUUCGGGUUGUAAAGUACUUUCAGCGGGGAGGAAGGGAGUAAAGUUAAUACCUUUGCUCAUUGACGUUACCCGCAGAAGAAGCACCGGCUAACUCCGUG
rnacentral:rRNA from 1 species